rnacentral:rRNA from 1 species
CACUCCUGCGGGAGGCAGCAGUGGGGAAUAUUGCACAAUGGGCGCAAGCCUGAUGCAGCCAUGCCGCGUGUAUGAAGAAGGCCUUCGGGUUGUAAAGUACUUUCAGCGGGGAGGAAGGCAAUACGGUUAAUAACCGUGUUGAUUGACGUUACCCGCAGAAGAAGCACCGGCUAACUCCGUGCCAGCAGCCGCGGUAAUACGGAGGGUGCAAGCGUUAAUCGGAAUUACUGGGCGUAAAGCGCACGCAGGCGGUCUGUCAAGUCGGAUGUGAAAUCCCCGGGCUCAACCUGGGAACUGCAUUCGAAACUGGCAGGCUUGAGUCUUGUAGAGGGGGGUAGAAUUCCAGGUGUAGCGGUGAAAUGCGUAGAGAUCUGGAGGAAUACCGGUGGCGAAGGCGGCCCCCUGGACAAAGACUGACGCUCAGGUGCGAAAGCGUGGGGAGCAAACAGGAUUAGAAACCCGAGUAGUCCCAUG